AGGAAUUCCCCCAAUCUUCUCCUUCUUCCUCGACCAAACCCUAGCAAAGCAGCCAUGGCAACCCCUAGGCCUCCCUGCGUGUUGAUGAAUCGCGUAGUGUUCUUCGUGGGAGACACGCUAGACGAUGGCACGAGCGGAGAUGCCUUCGCCGGCAUGCCCAUUGGAUGGAGCAAAGCGCGGGCGCUGAGUCCCCGAGAGGC
rnacentral:lncRNA from 1 species